UCCGUAGGUGAACCUGCGGAAGGAUCAUUAAUGAAACUUCAAAGUCGGCCCUGUUGUUGCUGGUGGUCAAACACAUGUGCACACUCGGUCGCAAAUCCACACACACCUGUGCAUCUAUGGCUUGAGGUUGUAACGACCAAGAGUACUUUUUAUACACUCUGAAUGUAACGGAAUGUCUUUUUGUGCUGUAAUAUGUACAACUAAAAACAACUUUCAACAACGGAUCUCUUGGCUCUCGCAUCGAUGAAGAACGCAGCGAAAUGCGAUAAGUAAUGUGAAUUGCAGAAUUCAGUGAAUCAUCGAAUCUUUGAACGCACCUUGCACCCUUUGGUAUUCCGAAGGGUACGCCCGUUUGAGUGUCAUUGUAAUCUCACUUCCACACCUUUAUUGUUGUUGGAAUGUGGACUUGGAUGUUGCGGUGUUACAACCGCUCGUCUCAAAUGCUUGAGUGUACCCUGCUUUGCAGCGUAUCGGGUGUGAUAAACAUUUCACCAGAGUUGGUCGCAAGACCGCGCUUUUGCUUAGUAUCAAGGCUCUAUGCUUCGAACCGUCUCUCACGAGACAAUCUCUGACAAUUUGACCUCAAAUCGGGUGGGACUACCCGCUGAACUUAAGCAUAUCAAUAAGCGGAGG
rnacentral:rRNA from 1 species